rnacentral:rRNA from 1 species
AUUGAACGCUGGCGUCAGGCUUAACACCUGCAAGUCGAAAGAGUGGCGGACGGGUGAGUAAUGCUUGGGAAUCUGGCUUAUGGCGGGGGAUAACGACGGGAAACUGUCGCUAAUACCGCGUCCCAUAGGAUGAACCGAAGUGGGAUUAGGUAGUUGGUGGGGUAAUGGCCUACCAAGCCGACGAACUCUAGCUGGUCUGAGAUGAUGACACGCCAAACCGGGACUGCGACACGGCCCGGACUCCGCAGGGAGGCAGCAGUGGGGAAUAUUUCGCAAUGGGGGCAACCUGACGCAGCCUUGCCGCGUGAAUGAAGAAGUCCUUCGGGUUGUAAAGGUCUUUCGGUGACGAGGCGUUAAUCACAGAAGAAGCACCGGCUAACUCCGUGCCAGCAGCCGCGGUAAUUC